rnacentral:rRNA from 1 species
UACGUAGGGGGCGAGCGUUUGUUCGGAAUUACUGGGCGUAAAGCGCACGUAGGCGGAUACUUAAGUCAGGGGUGAAAUCCCGGGGGCUCAACCCCGGAACUGCCUUUGAUACUGGGUAUCUCGAGUCCGGAAGAGGUGAGUGGAAUUCCGAGUGUAGAGGUGAAAUUCGUAGAUAUUCGCAAGAACACCAGUGGCGAAGGCGGCUUACUGGUCCGGAUCUGACGCUGAGGCGCGAAAAGCGUGGGGAGCAAACAGGG